UCCGCCUCCACCUGCUGGGAGACAAGAUGUUGGGUUACUGUAUUCCAUGGGUGGAUGUUAAGGCUAAACACCGAAGUAUUGGACUAGACCGUGACCCACUUAAUAAGGUUCUCACCAUGAAGAGCUCAGGGGUGAUGCGGAGACCACUGCCUUCACUUCUUGGGAGUCCACUGUGGUGUAUCCUUAGAGCGAAAGGAAGAUUGACUCCCGUUUGUAUUCCGCUGGAUAGGUGAGAGGCCCGGUGCAGUGUUAUUUUGGCUUUCGAAUGAUUCUGUGUACUUGGUUGUAUCUGGCACAUGGAAGGCCCUUAAAGCCAUUUGGAUUUAAGGCUAUCUUCUCUAGGGAGUGACUCAGAGUGACAUAUUUGCUUGUUUAACUUUGAGAGGGGCUUCAUGUUUGGCUAGCCCAGCUGCCUGAGUUUCUGUGCUAACCCUGACUCUCAAAGACUUUUGCAACUUCCCCAUGACAUUGCCGUUUUCUUCUCUGUCUUCCUGUCCUGGUCUGUAAAGCAGGGCUGGUGAGUACAUUAUUCCUCUGGUGUCUGAGAAGAGUGGAUUUGGUGGCGGCUGUUUAAUUUGAGAUGUACUUGACAUACAGCAAAGUAUGUAAUGGAUGCCAUCUGUCAUUUAUCCCAACUGCUAAACCCACAGAAAGUCUGUAUGUCCCUUUAGAACUGUCAGAUUUCUUGAUUCAGACAGACCUGGAUGAAUAUACAUUUUUCUGGGGAGAAGAGAUAAGUAGCUUUUAGCAGGAUCUGCUAAAGGCCCCUCGCCAUGGUCCACCCCACUGCUGUUUGGCUGUUUGCACGGCCAUCCCUCAGGGUGAUUUAAACCAGGGCUUCUUAGCUUUUUUUUUUUUUUUCCUUCUACUUGUGACCUCUUUUUAGCCCAAGAAAUUUUUAUAUGACUGGCUUAUAAAGUAGACAUAAAAACCAAACAUUUACAAUAAUCGUAAAUUUAUUUUACAACUGUUCUUUGGGGUCCAUAUAAUUUUACCAUUUAUUACCGUUGAAACUGUAUUUGCAUUCUAAUGGGAUGUGUGUACUUGUUUAUUUUCACACAAAGAUUUCAAUCAUGGCUGACUCUUUGAUGCUGUGGGAGGCAGAAUACCUUUGGUGUUUUUCAGAGGUGAUCAAUAUUUUGAUUUUUAUAACCAUCAGUGCUGAGAACCCUGCUGCACAUAAACACAUAGGAAAAAAUGGCAGAAGUGUGUUUAGGGCCAUUUCAUAAAGUGUUGGGCAUCCUAUCCCAAUCCCAAGACAUUAAUUUUGUAAUUUUUUUAUUUGUGCUUUUAAAUGAUGUUUUAAUUUAUUUUUAUUUUAUGUGUAUGUGUGUGUGCCUGUGUGAGUUUAUGUGUACCACAUUCAAGCAGAGGCCUUUGGAGGACACAAGAGGCUCGUGGAUCCCCAGGAACUGGGGUCUAGGAGCUGCCUUAUGUAGGUGUUGGGACCCAAAUCCAGGUCCUAAACAAGAGCAGUGUGUAUGCAGAACAUACGCCACUAGCCACGGAAUCAUCUCUCCAGCCCCCAUUUAGCAAUAUUUAAAAGAAGCUCAAGUCAGUAACUGUAAGAGCAGAUUUUUAAAUCAAGCAUCCUAGCCAGGUAUGGUGGCGCACGCCUUUAAUCCCAGCACUCAGUAGGCAGAGACAGGUGGAUCUCUGUGAGUUCAAGGGCAGCCUGCUCUACAAAGUGAAUCCAGGGCUACAUGAAGAGAACCUGUCUUGAAAAAUGAAAAACAAAAAACAAAAAGUCAUAUACUGAUCUUAUACUUACCUGCGAGGGAAUGGUGGCAGAAAAAUAUAAAGUGUUUCUAUAAUUCAACCGUUGUUUUUAUAAGAGCAGAAAACUGCAGGACAAGCAUUGCAGUUAUAAAAUACAGUCCUCUCAGACCUGAGCCGAGCCCCCGUGUUUCAGGCAGCAAUGUUGGCGCACACGGUGCUAAAUGAGUGUGUUGUGGGUUCAGAGCCAAGACUUCAGGGAUGUCUCAGAGUAACAAGGGUGAGGGCCGUCAGAAACGCCCCAGCUUCGUCGUGCGUUUGAUUUGGAUUGAUUUUGGCCACUGUGUGGUUGGAACCCUUUCAUUACCAAAUUUUCUGCAGCUCCCCCAUUUUGUUAUGUCAAGCCAUGUGGGGUCACAAUCCACAGUUUGAGAGAGGAGCCCUCGAAGAGUAGAGGCUUAUAGUUCUGAGGUCCAGAGUCUACGUUGUUGGCUUCUGACAAGGGUGUGCUUCUGGUGGAAGCAAGCUUUCUCAUCCACCAAAAUGCACGACUUAAAGGCUCCGUUUCUCCGCAUACCCUAGCUUCUCUGAAUGGAAGGUCAAUGACAGUUUUGGGAGGUCAGAGCAGCCCUUUGCAAGUUGUGAUCCCUCAGUGGCUAAGAAAUGUAGAUUCAAACUUCAGCAUCGAAGAGAGGCGGGGGUGGGGGUGGGCUAUGCCUCUCUGACAAUCUUUUUGGUGACCUUUUCAUCAGUGCUUGAAUCAAGAUUCUGAUGGAUUCCUCACAGAAAUGGUUAGAAAACACAAAUAAGUCAAAUAGAGACUAAAAAUUACAAGUAUUCUUCCCAUCUGGAGAAGAUAAAUUUAUAGCAUUUUUC
rnacentral:lncRNA from 1 species